UGUCAUGAUUGGGCCUUUUGAAAUGAACUAUACAUAAGGGUUUAUAGCAUUGUUGAAGUCUGUAGGAAAGUUGUCUUAUUGGCAUUCAUACCCCAUCUUCUAAUUCUGGAUAAAGGACUUAUGGUAAUGAUUUGGUUCAAAAUAUAAUGGAUCAGGUAUAUUGUUUUUAAGAGAAUAUGAAAACAGCAUUAAAUUUUGUGUAUUACAUCGUUG
rnacentral:lncRNA from 1 species